rnacentral:rRNA from 1 species
CCUACGGGAGGCAGCAGUGAGGAAUAUUGGUCAAUGGACGAGAGUCUGAACCAGCCAAGUAGCGUGAAGGAUGACUGCUCUAUGGGUCGUAAACUUCUUUUAUAUGGGAAUAAAAUGUUCCACGUGUGGGAUUUUGUAUGUACCAUAUGAAUAAGGAUCGGCUAACUCCGUGCCAGCAGCCGCGGUAAUACGGAGGAUCCGAGCGUUAUCCGGAUUUAUUGGGUUUAAAGGGAGCGUAGGCGGAUUGUUAAGUCAGUUGUGAAAGUUUGCGGCUCAACCGUAAAAUUGCAGUUGAAACUGGCAGUCUUGAGUACAGUAGAGGUGGGCGGAAUUCGUGGUGUAGCGGUGAAAUGCUUAGAUAUCACGAAGAACUCCGAUUGCGAAGGCAGCUCGCUGGGCUGCAACUGACACUGAGGCUCGAAAGUGUGGGUAUCAAACAGGAUUAGAUACCCCAGUAGUC